UAAGCAAAUAAUAGUUUGGGG
rnacentral:piRNA from 1 species